rnacentral:misc_RNA from 1 species
AGUACCUCCGACGAGAUGAGUGACUGCCCGGGAGGGCUGGAGGAAGCUUGUAUGAGACAGCUGGCCCGAGCCCGAACCAGGCCAAUCAACAUGCUGGCCCGAGCCCGGCCCGGGCCCACAGUCAAAAGUCCGAGCCCAUCCCAGGCCUGGGCUUUCGGCUCGGCAAAGUCUGCGGAUCUGGUUAUGCUUCCUGUACGAGACAGAUCACGAAGCGGUUGCUGACUGACCAGUUGGGGCGAAAAUUUUUGUGGGAAGGACGUAAGAGAAAGUUGACAUUCAGGAACCUUCACCUUGCUGAGUGCAUCAUAAAUGCAGUGCAGAGCUGCCAUAAAUGUGAAGACUUCAAGGUAGAAACCAUGGUCACGGAUUAACUUCGCCACGCACCUGCCUGACAUCAGUCAUAUCAAAUGG